rnacentral:rRNA from 1 species
CGCGUAGGUGGUUGCGUCAGUCGGAUGUGAAAUCCCCAGGCUUAACCUGAGAACUGCAUCCGAUACUGCGUGACUCGAGUGCAGCAGAGGGAAACGGAAUUCCUGGUGUAGAGGUGAAAUUCGUAGAUAUCAGGAGGAACACCGGUGGCGAAGGCGGUUUCCUGGGCUGACACUGACACUGAGGCGCGAAAGCGUGGGUAGCAAACAGGAUUAGAUACCCUGGUAGUCCACGCUGUAAACGGUGAGUGCUGGGUGUGGGAGGUGUAAUGCCUUCUGUGCCGAAGCUAACGCGUUAAGCACUCCGCCUGGGGAGUACGGCCGCAAGGUUGAA